rnacentral:rRNA from 1 species
AACGAACGCUGGCGGCAGGCCUAACACAUGCAAGUCGAGCGAGGACUUCGGUCCUAGCGGCGGACGGGUGAGUAACGCGUGGGAACGUGCCCUUUGCUUCGGAAUAGCCCUGGGAAACUGGGAGUAAUACCGGAUGAGCCCUUUGGGGGAAAGAUUUAUCGGCGAAGGAUCUGCCCGCGUUGGAUUAGGUAGUUGGUAGGGUAAUGGCCUACCAAGCCGACGAUCCAUAGCUGGUUUGAGAGGAAGAUCAGCCACACUGGGACUGAGACACGGCCCAGACUCCUACGGGAGGCAGCAGUGGGGAAUCUUAGACAAUGGGGGAAACCAUGAUCUAGCCAUGCCGCGUGAGCGAUGAAGGCCUUAGGGUUGUAAAGCUCUUUCAGCUGGGAAGAUAAUGACGGUACCAGCAGAAGAAGCCCCGGCUAACUCCGUG